ACGACCGUUGUGUAAUGGUAGCAUGGAGGCCUGUGGAGCCUUAGGAGCGAGUCCGAUUCUCGCCGGUCGUCCCA
rnacentral:tRNA from 1 species